AGAGUUUGAUCCUGGCUCAGAUUGAACGCUAGCGGCAUGCUUAACACAUGCAAGUCGAACGGUAACAGGACUAGCUUGCUAGUCGCUGACGAGUGGCGGACGGGUGAGUAAUGCGUAGGAAUCUACCUCGUAGUGGGGGAUAACCCGGGGAAACUCGGGCUAAUACCGCAUAAUCUCUAAGGAGUAAAGUGGGGGACCUU
rnacentral:rRNA from 1 species